UCCUGACCCUGUAAGUUAAAAUCUACCUUUGGCAACUUCAGGGUACACAGUGUUACUGCUAAACACUGACCAAAGAUUUCUUCAAACCUCAAAAAGUCUGAGGGAACCCAGAUGAAAGUAAUAUUUGGGCUAUAAGAAGAAAGGAAAACAAAAAAGGAUAACUACAUUAACAGAAUGGAUCAUCACCUCUGACCUCUGAAUCAAAGAGAAGGUCAGGUGACUCAUCAGAAGCACCAGAAUCAAACAGUCUGUGAAUCCCUCACAGUGAAGAAUAUCAGCGGUUGCAACCAGGACAGAAUAAGACAAAUUGUUUGACACCGUGGAGACAAACCUUAAUUAAGUGAUUUCCAGACACUAUGUUAAGUGAUGAAAAUGAUACCCCCGAACAGAUUAUAAAACGGCAUGUGGAAGAAUAAUGAAGAGAUUAAGAGAAGGAUAUGAAUUUGAUGUAAAGAGGAGGAUGUAUAGUGAAGGAUAUUGAAAGAUUAUGAUUUCAGAUGGGAUUAUGUCUCUGUUAUAUGAAUCUAAUGGUUUAUUAUGUUUUAAUUCACUUUUCUCAUAUUCUGAAAGUUUCAUGUUAAUGUGCAAGUUCUGUGUGUCCUAAUCUAAUGAAAACAAUGUACCAACAAUUAAAAAAUACAAUUAUUUGAAGACAGACUAAAACCCAAUUGUUAAAUUAAAGGAACAGUCUACUUAAGAA